AAGAGUGCAGCGGAGCAAUCUAGAAUGAGGCAAUAAGGCAGCACCGGCAGCGGGGCUUAAUGGCAAAAUGGAGAGGGACUGGCAACCAUGGUGGGGAGAGAGGGAGAGAGGCAGAGAGAGGGAGAGAGAGAACACCAAUCAAACUGCAUCGACUGAAUUCAGACCCCGGCCUCGAUUCAACAUUGCUGGCUCACACUCAGGACGGGCCGGCGGACCGCACCCUGACUGCGGAAGAUGAGGACUUCCGACGCUACUAUGCAUCAUUGUUUGCUGUCCCCACCACUAGGGGCAGUGUGGGACCCACAAGCAACUCCCCUGUGUCUUGCCUCACCAUAGAAGUGCUGAAUGAG
ensembl:lncRNA